rnacentral:rRNA from 1 species
AGUGAACGCUAGCGGUAGGCCUAACACAUGCAAGUCGAACGGCAGCACAGUAAGAGCUUGCUCUUACGGGUGGCGAGUGGCGGACGGGUGAGGAAUACAUCGGAAUCUACUUUUUCGUGGGGGAUAACGUAGGGAAACUUACGCUAAUACCGCAUACGACCUACGGGUGAAAGCAGGGGAUCUUCGGACCUUGCGCGAUUGAAUGAGCCGAUGUCGGAUUAGCUAGUUGGCGGGGUAAAGGCCCACCAAGGCGACGAUCCGUAGCUGGUCUGAGAGGAUGAUCAGCCACACUGGAACUGAGACACGGUCCAGACUCCUACGGGAGGCAGCAGUGGGGAAUAUUGGACAAUGGGCGCAAGCCUGAUCCAGCCAUACCGCAUGGGUGAAGAAGGCCUUCGGGUUGUAAAGCCCUUUUGUUGGGAAAGAAAAGCAGCAGGUUAAUACCCCGCUGUUCUGACGGUACCCAAAGAAUAAGCACCGGCUAACUUCGUG